AGAAAAGUGAGCCAAUACCUGAGGAGGAGCUUCCUGCUGUUCUGAAUAAAAUUGACAGCUCUUCACUGGAUGGCAGCCAGUGGAAAAGUGGAAUAAACAACAAAAAUGAUCAGAAGAAGGGACUGCUUCUUGGUUCGCAAUCCACACUAGACGAGGUGAUGAUUCAGACUUUUGAUUCUGAGAAGAAUGAAGAUGUCGAAAGUGAAACAGAUUUUGAAGAUGAAAAUGCUGUAGAAGACUCUGCUCUUCUAGAAAAGACAUCUCCUGACGUCAGCUUGAAAUCAGAGGGAGCAGCGCUGGACAAAAACGGCACAGCAGACCUCGGCGAUGUCAGGCCAACUGUUCAGUUUACGUUGGAUGUGACCAAAAUGUCAAAUGUAACAGGAAAUGCCCUUUCAGAUACAAAUGACCCUGAAAUAUAAUAAACUACGUAAUCUAUAUAUAUUUUUUUUUAAUUGCAUACUUUUAAUUGUUGUGCUGUAAAUGUAUACAGUUUUCCUGCAAUGCUCAAAGGAAAUAAACAUUGUUGAAAGGA